AAAUGACAUUCUCUGGAAUUGCUGUACUACUUUGAUGAAAGUGCAUUUGAACUUUUUUCCAUCUGAUCGCUGACAAGAAAAAGACUAUCCUU